UGGGAGGAAUCCUGACCCAGCGAUCGACCGCGUGAACGAUGAAGGCCUUAGGGUUGUAAAGUUCUUUUAUGUGGGAAGAAGGAAGUGACGGUACCACAUGAAUAAGCCCCGGCUAACUACGUGCCAGCAGCCGCGGUAAUACGUAGGGGGCGAGCGUUGUCCGGAAUUACUGGGCGUAAAGGGCACGCAGGCUGUGAUUCAAGUCAGCUGUAAAAGGAUGCGGCUUAACCGUGUUUAGCAGUUGAAACUGGAUGACUGGAGUGCUGGAGAGGCAAGUGGAAUUCCCAGUGUAGCGGUGAAAUGCGUAGAUAUUGGGAAGAACAUCGGUGGCGAAGGCGACUUGCUGGCCAGUAACUGACGCUGAGGUGCGAAAGCCAGGGUAGCAAACGGGAUUAGAUACCCCGGUAGUCCUGGCUGUAAACGAUGAAUGCUGGGUGUGCGAGCAGAGAUGUUGGUGUGCCGCAGUUAACGCGAUAAGCAUUCCGCCUGGGGAGUACGGUCGCAAGAUUGAAACUCAAAGGAUUGACGGGGGCCCGCACAAGCGGUGGAGCACGUGGUUUAAUUCGAUGCAAACCGAAAGAACCUUACCUGGGUCCGACAUGUAUACGUACGACCCGGAAACGGUGACACGUACUCGGACAACAUACACGUGCUGCAUGGCUGUC
rnacentral:rRNA from 1 species